ACAUCGGUGACAGGUGGUGGCAUGGUUGUCGUCAGCUCGUGUCGUGAGAUGUUGGUUAAGUCCGCAACGAGCGCAACCCCUAUUGUUAGUUGCCAUCAUUCAGUUGGGCACUCUAGCGAGACUGCCGGUAAUAAACCGGAGGAAGGUGGGAUGACGUCAAAUCAUCAUGCCCCUUAUGACCUGGGCUACACACGUGCUACAAUGGUUGGUACAACGAGUUGCGAGUCGGUGACGGCGAGCUAAUCUCUUAAAGCCAAUCUCAGUUCGGAUUGUAGGCUGCAACUCGCCUACAUGAAGUCGGAAUCGCUAGUAAUCGCGGAUCAGCACGCCGCGGUGAAUACGUUCCCGGGCCUU
rnacentral:rRNA from 1 species